rnacentral:rRNA from 1 species
GGGUUAGUAGGUUGGUCAUGCCUCUGGUAUGUACUGAUCUCACUGAUUCCUCCUUCCUAAAGAACCAUAAUGUCAUUUAUUUGAUGUUAUGGGGAAUUAGGACUGUUACCUUGAAAAAAUUAGAGUGUUUAAAGCAAGCUAACGCUUGAAUACAUUAGCAUGGAAUAAUGAAAUAGGACGUUCGAUCCUAUUUUGUUGGUUUCUAGGAUUGACGUA